UCGGAUGUGAAAUCCCCGGGCUCAACCUGGGAACUGCAUUCGAAACUGGCAGGCUUGAGUCUUGUAGAGGGGGGUAGAAUUCCAGGUGUAGCGGUGAAAUGCGUAGAGAUCUGGAGGAAUACCGGUGGCGAAGGCGGCCCCCUGGACAAAGACUGACGCUCAGGUGCGAAAGCGUGGGGAGCAAACAGGAUUAGAUACCCUGGUAGUCCACGCCGUAAACGAUGUCUACUUGGAGGUUGUGCCCUUGAGGCGUGGCUUCCGGAGCUAACGCGUUAAGUAGACCGCCUGGGGAGUACGGCCGCAAGGUUAAAACUCAAAUGAAUUGACGGGGGCCCGCACAAGCGGUGGAGCAUGUGGUUUAAUUCGAUGCAACGCGAAGAACCUUACCUGGUCUUGACAUCCACGGAAGUUUUCAGAGAUGAGAAUGUGCCUUCGGGAACCGUGAGACAGGUGCUGCAUGGCUGUCGUCAGCUCGUGUUGUGAAAUGUUGGGUUAAGUCCCGCAACGAGCGCAACCCUUAUCCUUUGUUGCCAGCGGUCCGGCCGGGAACUCAAAGGAGACUGCCAGUGAUAAACUGGAGGAAGGUGGGGAUGACGUCAAGUCAUCAUGGCCCUUACGACCAGGGCUACACACGUGCUACAAUGGCGCAUACAAAGAGAAGCGACCUCGCGAGAGCAAGCGGACCUCAUAAAGUGCGUCGUAGUCCGGAUUGGAGUCUGCAACUCGACUCCAUGAAGUCGGAAUCGCUAGUAAUCGUGGAUCAGAAUGCCACGGUGAAUACGUUCCCGGGCCUUGUACACACCGCCCGUCACACCAUGGGAGUGGGUUGCAAAAGAAGUAGGUAGCUUAACCUUCGGGAGGGCGCUUACCACUUUGUGAUUCAUGACUGGGGUGAAGUCGUAACAAGGUAACCGUAGGGGAACCUGCGGUUGGAUCACCUCCUUACCUUAAAGAAGC
rnacentral:rRNA from 1 species